AUUUUAAAAAUUACUACUUUCAAAAAAAAAUCACGGGACGAGUAAAGAAAUUACAGAACGGGUUUUAUUUUGGAAUAGAGUUAUAUGGUGGAUGUAUUUGAAUCAAUAUUUAUAAAAAUUUAAAAUA
rnacentral:sRNA from 1 species